GAUGAACGCUGGCGGCGUGCCUAAUACAUGCAAGUCGAGCGAACAGACGAGGAGCUUGCUCCUCUGACGUUAGCGGCGGACGGGUGAGUAACACGUGGAUAACCUACCUAUAAGACUGGGAUAACUUCGGGAAACCGGAGCUAAUACCGGAUAACAUGUUGAACCGCAUGGUUCAACAGUGAAAGACGGUUUUGCUGUCACUUAUAGAUGGAUCCGCGUCGCAUUAGCUAGUUGGUAAGGUAACGGCUUACCAAGGCAACGAUGCGUAGCCGACCUGAGAGGGGGAUCGGCCACACUGGAACUGAGACACGGGCCAGACUCCUACGGGAGGCAGCAGUAGGGAAUCUUCCGCAAUGGGCGAAAGCCUGACGGAGCAACGCCGCGUGAGUGAAGAAGGUCUUCGGAUCGUAAAACUCUGUUAUUAGGGAAGAACAAAUGUGUAAGUAACUAUGCACGUCUUGACGGUACCUAAUCAGAAAGCCACGGCUAACUACGU
rnacentral:rRNA from 1 species